rnacentral:tRNA from 1 species
UCCCUGGUGGUCUAGUGGCUAGGAUUCGGCGCUUUCACCGCUGCGGCCCGGGUUCGAUUCCCGACCAGGGAA